UACGAGUGCCCCGAGCGUUAUCCGGAAUUAUUGGGCGUAAAGGGUGUGUAGGUUGUUUUGUUAGUCUUUUGUUAAAUCUCCCGGCUUAACCGGGAAGCUGCGAAAGAUACGGCAAAACUAGAGGAUGCGAGAGGUGUACGGAACUCAUAGUGUAGGGGUGAAAUCCGUUGAUAUUAUGAGGAACACCAAAGGCGAAGGCAGUACACUGGCGCACUCCUGACACUGAAACACGAAAGCGUGGGUAGCGAAUGGG
rnacentral:rRNA from 1 species